rnacentral:rRNA from 1 species
AAAUAGUACUUUGCAGAGAGAGUUAACAGGGCGUGAAACCGUUAAUUGGCAAACGAAUCGGAGCCACGAAGUCGCUCUUUUGACCCAAAAGGUCCCUAUGAGCGUACACUGCAACCAGUUAGACAAUUAACCAUGGGCUUAGAUGUCCGAGUUAGUAGUAGUGCGGCGUGGUCCUGUACUGCGUUGUAUUGCUGGGCUCGUGGCAAGUGAACUAUGGUUAAACACUGACUGGCUUACUGAAACAUAUCGCAAGAUAUAAUAACAACACCAAUCUCUUGCAUUAUCAUCUACACACUCGACCAUGAGGUUCAAGCUCAGCAUUUUUGAAUUUGGACUUGCUUGCUACCAGUGGGGCAACUCCUGGUGCUUGUAUAGCUUUCAUCUAAUCGGGUGUUGACUUAAUCUUGUGUUGUUUUAGUGUGAAUCGUUUGGGUAGUAAUGUACUUAGAUUGGUUGAUGAUUCGCAGUGAGUAGGUCGGCUUUCCGAACGACCCGUCUUGAAACACGGACCAAGGAGUCUAAUUAGGCAUCGAGUCGAUCGGUCUUGAAUAGGCCAGUAAAUGGUGGAUCCACCAAGUGAAGGCAAAGAGACAAUCAUGUGAUCGAUGGUUUACAACAACCUGCGCGCGCAACAUGUGCCUGUUCGUAUAACAAUGUACCUAAAAUUGUUGAGCGGAGCAAGGAGAUGCUUGAUUGGUACCCGAAAGAUGGUGAUGCUUGGGCAAAUUGAAGCCAGAGGAAACUCUGGUGGAGGAUUGUAGCGAUUCUGACGUGCAAAUCGAUCGUCAGACCUGAGUAUAGGGGCGAAAGACUAAUCGAACCAUC